rnacentral:rRNA from 1 species
AUGAACGCUAGCUACAGGCUUAACACAUGCAAGUCGAGGGGCAGCAUUUUAGUUUGCUUGCAAACUAAAGAUGGCGACCGGCGCACGGGUGAGUAACACGUAUCCAACCUGCCGAUAACUCGGGGAUAGCCUUUCGAAAGAAAGAUUAAUAUCCGAUAGUAUAUUAAAACCGCAUGGUUUUACUAUUAAAGAAUUUCGGUUAUCGAUGGGGAUGCGUUCCAUUAGUUUGUUGGCGGGGUAACGGCCCACCAAGACUACGAUGGAUAGGGGUUCUGAGAGGAAGGUCCCCCACAUUGGAACUGAGACACGGUCCAAACUCCUACGGGAGGCAGCAGUGAGGAAUAUUGGUCAAUGGACGAGAGUCUGAACCAGCCAAGUAGCGUGAAGGAUGACUGCCCUAUGGGUUGUAAACUUCUUUUAUAUGGGAAUAAAGUAUUCCACGUGUGGGAUUUUGUAUGUACCAUAUGAAUAAGGAUCGGCUAACUCCGUGCCAGCAGCCGCGGUAAUACGGAGGAUCCGAGCGUUAUCCGGAUUUAUUGGGUUUAAAGGGAGCGUAGGUGGAUUGUUAAGUCAGUUGUGAAAGUUUGCGGCUCAACCGUAAAAUUGCAGUUGAAACUGGCAGUCUUGAGUACAGUAGAGGUGGGCGGAAUUCGUGGUGUAGCGGUGAAAUGCUUAGAUAUCACGAAGAACUCCGAUUGCGAAGGCAGCUCACUAGACUGCAACUGACACUGAUGCUCGAAAGUGUGGGUAUCAAACAGGAUUAGAUACCCUGGUAGUCCACACAGUAAACGAUGAAUACUCGCUGUUUGCGAUAUACAGUAAGCGGCCAAGCGAAAGCAUUAAGUAUUCCACCUGGGGAGUACGCCGGCAACGGUGAAACUCAAAGGAAUUGACGGGGGCCCGCACAAGCGGAGGAACAUGUGGUUUAAUUCGAUGAUACGCGAGGAACCUUACCCGGGCUUAAAUUGCAUUUGAAUAAUCUGGAAACAGGUUAGCCGCAAGGCAAAUGUGAAGGUGCUGCAUGGUUGUCGUCAGCUCGUGCCGUGAGGUGUCGGCUUAAGUGCCAUAACGAGCGCAACCCUUAUCUUUAGUUGCUAACAGGUCAUGCUGAGGACUCUAGAGAGACUGCCGUCGUAAGAUGUGAGGAAGGUGGGGAUGACGUCAAAUCAGCACGGCCCUUACGUCCGGGGCUACACACGUGUUACAAUGGGGGGUACAGAAGGCAGCUACCUGGCGACAGGAUGCUAAUCCCAAAAACCUCUCUCAGUUCGGAUCGAAGUCUGCAACCCGACUUCGUGAAGCUGGAUUCGCUAGUAAUCGCGCAUCAGCCAUGGCGCGGUGAAUACGUUCCCGGGCCUUGUACACACCGCCCGUCAAGCCAUGAAAGCCGGGGGUACCUGAAGUACGUAACCGCAAGGAGCGUCCUAGGGUAAAACUGGUAAUUGGGGCU